AAGGGGCUUCGGCCCUGAGUAGAGUGGCAAACGGGUGAGUAACACGUGGGUGACCUGCCUUCGAGUGGGGGAUAACGUCCCGAAAGGGACGCUAAUACCGCAUGACAUCCUGCCUUUGGACAGGCGGAGAUCAAAGCUGGGGAUCGCAAGACCUAGCGCUUGAAGAGGGGCCCGCGUCUGAUUAGCUAGUUGGUAGGGUAAUGGCCUACCAAGGCUACGAUCAGUAUCCGGCCUGAGAGGGCGGACGGACACACUGGGACUGAGACACGGCCCAGACUCCUACGGGAGGCAGCAGUGGGGAAUUGUUCGCAAUGGGCGCAAGCCUGACGACGCAACGCCGCGUGGAGGAUGAAGAUCUUCGGG
rnacentral:rRNA from 1 species